rnacentral:rRNA from 1 species
GAUGAACGCUAGCGGGAGGCUUAACACAUGCAAGUCGAGGGGCAGCAUAGGGUAGCAAUACUCUGAUGGCGACCGGCAAACGGGUGAGUAACGCGUAUGCAACCUACCCUGUACAGGGGGAUAACCCGGAGAAAUUCGGACUAAUAUCCCGUAAUAAUAUCCGGAGGCAUCUUUGGAUAUUUAAAGUUCCGACGGUACGGGAUGGGCAUGCGUAACAUUAACUGGUUGGUAAGGUAACGGCUUACCAAGGCUAUGAUGUUUAGGGGUCCUGAGAGGGUGGUCCCCCACACUGGUACUGAGACACGGACCAGACUCCUACGGGAGGCAGCAGUGAGGAAUAUUGGUCAAUGGGCGCAAGCCUGAACCAGCCAUCCCGCGUGCAGGAAGACGGCCCUAUGGGUUGUAAACUGCUUUUCCAGGGAGAGAAACUUACGCACGUGUUGCGUGACUGACGGUACCCUGGGAAUAAGCAUCGGCUAACUCCGUGCCAGCAGCCGCGGUAAACUCGACGAGACGUACGUGAC